rnacentral:rRNA from 1 species
GACGAACGCUGGCGGCGUGCUUAACACAUGCAAGUCGAGCGAUGAAGCUCCUUCGGGAGUGGAUUAGCGGCGGACGGGUGAGUAACACGUGGCUAACAUGCCUCAUAGAGGGGAAUAGCCUUCCGAAAGGAAGAUUAAUCACGCAUAAGCUUGUAGUACCGCAUGGUCCAGCAAUUAACGGAGCAAUCCGCUAUGAGAUGGACCCGCGUCGCAUUAGCUAGUUGGUGAGGUAACGGCUCACCAAGGCGACGAUGCGUAGCCGACCUGAGAGGGUGAUCGACCACAUUGGGACUGAGACACGGCCCAGACUCCUACGGGAGGCAGCAGUGGGGAAUAUUGCACAAUGGGGGAAACCCUGAUGCAGCAACGCCGCGUGAGUGAUGACGGUCUUCGGAUUGUAAAACUCUGUCUUCAGGGACGAUAAUGACGGUACCUGAGGAGGAAGCCACGGCUAACUACGUGCCAGCAGCCGCCGUAACAC